UUUGCGUAAACGUCAGUGCUGCGUGUACCAUUCGUGGAAAUAAAGUGCCCCAAGCCCCGACGCCAUUAGGUGGCGUGUACGUUCGAACGCGCACAGUUGACGCUGAAAGGAAGCGGGCCGAAUAAUUGGUGCACAGUGUAAAUCGGAUUGUGAGAAGGUGGUGCGUUCGAUAUGGGCAAUCCUCAACCGUGGAGAGCAACUUUCACUGCCAAAGUGUGCCUGUGUCGUGCUUGUCGUCGUCGGCGGUCAUUGUGUGCCUCCCGUCCGGCAUCAUCGUCCCGUCAGCGAAAUCUGCCGAAAGCCCCCAAAGUGUGGCGCGUUGGAGAUGCAAGGGAACAUCGAAUUCUCGGCCGCCGAAACAUACAUUCUCGGGGCAGGAAUUUCCACCAAUGUUUUGGAGACAAAUCGUGCAGGAAUCAUCACUCUCUCCUCCCUGGAACGUCGGGAAGUUGGUGCACCUGCUUGCUGCGUGAGUUUGAUGAGAAAACUCAUAAUGCCAGCCUUAAAUGGAAUUGCUAGGUGAACGUCUUUGACAGCAAGUUGUUGUUUAAGUGUAAGUGUUUGGUUACGGUAUUACUAACAACAGCACUAACGACAUGAAUUGAAUACAUCUCUCAACUUCGUGUUGACGUCACAGAUAUGGAACGUGUUUACUUGUCUCUUAAUGUAGGCCUUA